rnacentral:rRNA from 1 species
CCCUUAGAUGUUCUGGGCCGCACGCGCGCUACACUGACGCAGUCAGCGAGCAUGUCCUACGCCGACAGGUGCGGGGAAUCUUGUCAAACUUCGUCGUGAUGGGGAUUGAUUAUUGAAAUUCUUGAUCAUCAACGAGGAAUUCCUAGUAAGCGCAAGUCAGCAGCUUGCGUUGAUUACGUCCCUGCCCUUUGUACACACCGCCCGUCGCUACUGCCAACUGAGAUGGGUCCUGAAUUGUUAGGAACGCCCGUCAAGGGGCCUACCCGGUCCCUAGUGCGGUGACGAGAAUAACUGUAAAUGGCAUAUCUUGUAGGGAGUAAAAGUCGUAACA